UACGUAGGUGACCAGCGUUGUCCGGAUUUACUGGGCGUAAAGAGCGCGCAGGCGGUCGUUCAAGUCGAGUGUGAAAGCCCCCGGCUCAACUGGGGAGGGUCAUUCGAUACUGAUCGACUUGAAGGCAGGAGAGGGAAGUGGAAUUCUCGGUGUAGCGGUGAAAUGCGUAGAUAUCGAGAGGAACACCUGCGGCGAAGGCGGGUUGCUGGGCUGACACUGACGCUGAGGCGCGAAAGCUAGGGGAGCAAACGGG
rnacentral:rRNA from 1 species